AGACCCGAAACCCGGUGAUCUAGCCAUGGGCAGGUUGAAGGUUGGGUAACACUAACUGGAGGACCGAACCGACUAAUGUUGAAAAAUUAGCGGAUGACCUGUGGCUGGGGGUGAAAGGCCAAUCAAACCGGGAGAUAGCUGGUUCUCCCCGAAAGCUAUUUAGGUAGCGCCUCGUGAAUUCAUCUCCGGGGGUAGAGCACUGUUUCGGCUAGGGGGCCAUCCCGGCUUACCAACCCGAUGCAAACUGCGAAUACCGGAGAAUGUUAUCACGGGAGACACACGGCGGGUGCUAACGUCCGUCGUGAAGAGGGAAACAACCCAGACCGCCAGCUAAGGUCCCAAAGUCAUGGUUAAGUGGGAAACGAUGUGGGAAGGCCCAGACAGCCAGGAUGUUGGCUUAGAAGCAGCCAUCAUUUAAAGAAAGCGUAAUAGCUCACUGGUCGAGUCGGCCUGCGCGGAAGAUGUAACGGGGCUAAACCAUGCACCGAAGCUGCGGCAGCGAACGUAUCACUUAAAGCGAUUCAGCGGGUUACGAUUGACGGAGCGAAGCGACGUCAAAGCGUAUACAAAGUCGAGUCGGUUUAAGGAUACGUUCGUUGGGUAGGGGAGCGUUC
rnacentral:rRNA from 6 species